rnacentral:tRNA from 2 species
GGGGCCUUAGCUCAGCUGGGAGAGCGCAACACUGGCAGUGUUGAGGUCAGCGGUUCGAGCCCGCUAGGCUCCACCA